AUACGUAGGAUCCGAGCGUUAUCCGGAUUUAUUGGGUUUAAAGGGUGCGCAGGCGGGAGAUUAAGUCGGCGGUGAAAUUUUGCAGCUCAACUGUAAAAGUGCCUUCGAAACUGGUUUCCUUGAGUGUAGAUGAAGUAGGCGGAAUUUGUGGUGUAGCGGUGAAAUGCAUAGAUAUCACGAGGAACUCCGAUUGCGCAGGCAGCUUACUAAACUACUACUGACGCUCAGGCACGAAGGCGUGGGGAUCAAACAGGAUUAGAUACCCUGGUAGUCCACGCAGUAAACGAUGAUUACUAGCUGUUUGCGAUACAAUGUAAGCGGCUGAGCGAAAGCGUUAAGUAAUCCACCUGGGGAGUACGUUCGCAAGAAUGAAACUCAAAUGAAUUGACGGGG
rnacentral:rRNA from 1 species